rnacentral:rRNA from 1 species
UACGUAGGGGGCAAGCGUUGUCCGGAAUCAUUGGGCGUAAAGAGUGUGUAGGCGGUUUUCUAAGUUCGGUGUGAAAUCUCCCGGCUUAACUGGGAGGGUGCGCCGGAAACUGGAGGACUGGAGUGCCGGAGAGGAUAGCGGAAUUCCUGGUGUAGCGGUGAAAUGCGUAGAUAUCAGGAGGAACACCUGCGGUGUAGACGGCUAUCUGGACGGUUACUGACGCUGAGACACGAAAGCGUGGGUAGCAAACGGG